rnacentral:rRNA from 1 species
GGGGAAUCUUGGACAAUGGGGGCAACCCUGAUCCAGCGACGCCGCGUGGGUGAUGAAGGCCUUCGGGUCGUAAAGCCCUUUUGCCGGGGAAGAUGAUGACGGUACCCGGAGAAGAAGCACCGGCUAACUCUGUGCCAGCAGCCGCGGUAAGACAGAGGGUGCUAGCGUUGUUCGGAAUUACUGGGCGUAAAGGGCGCGUAGGCGGCCCGUUUAGUCGGGUGUGAAAUCCCAAGGCUCAACCUUGGAACUGCAUUCGAUACUGGCGGGCUAGAGACCGGAAGAGGUGGGUGGAAUACCCAGUGUAGAGGUGAAAUUCGUAGAUAUUGGGUGGAACACCGGUGGCGAAGGCGGCUCACUGGUCCGGUUCUGACGCUGAGGCGCGAAAGCGUGGGGAGCAAA